CCCGCCGAGCCGGCGAGCGCGGACAGUGACCGGCUGGGGUCGAGUUCGGCGGGGGGCGAGGCUGACCCGAGGCCGCCGUCUGACGAAGAGCCGGCACCAGAGGCGCGGGCAGACCCACCGCCGCCCGGCGAGGAGCAGAGCGGUCUGCCGUCUAGUCCAGCGGCAGACGAUCAAACGCAAGAGCGGCGGACUCCUCCGGCGGCCUCUGUCGACACACCGCCGCUGUCACUGGCGGGCGCCGAGCACGUGCCGUUCGCCGACGAUAGCGGCGCCGAGACGUGAUGCCGCCGGCCGACCGGGCCGGCCGGCUGCCCACUCAGGCGGGGUCGGGGGCGCGCCGCGGCGCCAGGCCUCAGGUGUAACGUCGGAGCCGUCUUGCCAGCGUGUUGUGCCUUAGUGGCGGCGGAGCGCGGCGCGAGUCCGCACCGUGAGAGCGGCGCUGGACGGCAUCGUCGCGUCGCGAUGGCUGUGUAGAAGCCAUGACGGGUCGGAGAAGCUCCGGUUCGUCCUGUGCGUCGGACGGCUCGCCGCGCCGUAGCUCCCCUUUGAUGUGCGAGCCCAGGUCAAGGCGUGUCGUGCCCCGCCCCCUCUGCGAUGCGGUCGUGAGAGCUCAUUAACAAGCGUCCGCUCGGUGGUUGAAAUCUCAGCGGUGCUCAUCUUCCUCGAGGCGUCGUGUGAAACGUAUGUCGCCUGCUUGUGGCGGACGGGUAUGCGGUGUAAUAACGGUUUGGAAUGGAAUAAAAGAGUUGUAUUAAUAUGUAUCCCAUCGGCUUUCAUCCGGUGUCUGCUCUUUGACUUUGCGUACUAGUUAUCCAGCGGUGUAAUUUUGCAGCAGCCGGUCGAGUGCUGAGCUGAGAUCGAUUAGCCUGGGGCUUCCUCAAGUGCUAGACUCCUUGAAUUGUGCUUUUUGGGAAAAUUUAUGUGCAUGAACAUGUUUGUUUUGACAUUUCAAUUAGAAAAUAAACAGCUUCAUGUUUUUUUGGUUA